rnacentral:lncRNA from 1 species
AGCAACUUGAGCUGAAAGGCUGAACUGGGUCCCGAGUGGAAAAUACCAGACUUUGUCCUUUCAGUGCCCAGCAGCGACCAUGUGCUGGGGCUCUGCUGCCCACACUGGAAGAAGCAAAGAAAGCAGCUGAAAUGCCAAGAACAGUCUGUCUCUACUGAGGCUCACCUUAAGGAGAAGGCCCGGGACAGUGGCAGGCGGCAUGAGACACUGCAUGGCUUGGGGGAACAAAUCUUUUGUUGCAUUAACGCUUUUCAUCCUCCACCUUGAACGAGGCAGAUGCUCCCUGCAGAGCUGUCGACUGAAUAAAGAAAUGAGUUUAAUGAUCA